UACGUAGGGGGCGAGCGUUGUCCGGAGUUACUGGGCGUAAAGCGCACGCAGGCGGUUUCGUACGUCUGGAGGGACAGUUCCCGGCUCAACUGGGAAAGGUCUUCGGAAACGGCGAGACUUGAGGGCUUCAGAGGGACACGGAAUUCCGGGUGGAGUGGUGAAAUGCGUAGAGAUCCGGAGGAACACCAAUGGCGAAGGCAGUGUCCUGGGAAGCAUCUGACGCUCAGGUGCGAAAGCUAGGGGAGCGAACAGG
rnacentral:rRNA from 1 species